rnacentral:rRNA from 1 species
CGGUAGGGUAACCUCGCCCAAGAGAUCGGGAUAACACCUGGAAACAGAUGCUAAUACCGGAUAACAACAGAUGAUGCCUAUCAACUGUUUAAAAGAUGGUUCUGCUAUCACUCUUGGAUGGACCUGCGGUGCAUUAGCUAGUUGGUAGGGUAACGGCCUACCAAGGCGAUGAUGCAUAGCCGAGUUGAGAGACUGAUCGGCCACAUUGGGACUGAGACACGGCCCAAACUCCUACGGGAGGCAGCAGUU